UCCUUCCGGCUUAGUGGCGGACGGGUGAGUAAAAAACAAAAGGGCCCUCUGGGAACACUCAGGGAAACCCGACCUAAUACCCGAUGUGCCCUUCGGGGGAAAGAUUUAUCGCCAUUAGAGCGGCCCGCGUCUGAUUAGCUAGUUGGCGAGGUAAAGGCUCACCAAGGCGACGAUCAGUAGCUGGUCUGAGAGGAUGAUCAGCCACAUUGGGACUGAGACACGGCCCAAACUCCUACGGGAGGCAGCAGUGGGGAAUCUUGCGCAAUGGGCGAAAGCCUGAACGCAGCCAUUGCCGCGUGAAUGAUGAAGGUCUUAUGAUUGUAAAAUUCUUUCAGCAGGGACGAUAAUGACGGUACCUGCAGAAGAAGCCCCGGCUAAAAUUUCAUGCCAGCAGCCGCGGUAAUACGAAGGGGGCUAGCGUUUGCUCGGAAUUACUGGGCCUAAAGGGCGCGUAGGCGGGUCGUUUAGUUAGAGGUGAAAGCCCCAGGGUUCAACCCUGGAAUUGCCUUUAAUACUGGGCGGGCCUUGAGUAUGGCAGAGGUGUGU
rnacentral:rRNA from 1 species